UCAAAGGCCCUUUUCAGGGCCACCCAUCUAGUCACUAGAAAGAGUU
rfam:Ailuropoda melanoleuca scaffold2498_17, whole genome shotgun sequence.